rnacentral:rRNA from 1 species
UCGAACGAGUUUCGUUUAGUAGCAAUACUGAGCGAAGCUAGUGGCGAACGGGUGCGUAACACAUGAGUCAUCUGCCCAGAAGUGGGGAAUAGCUCGGCGAAAGCCGGAUUAAUACCGCAUGUGGUCGUAAGACCAAAGCCGGGGCAACCUGGCGCUUUUGGAGGAGCUCGUGGCCUAUCAGCUAGUUGGUGAGGUAACGGCUCACCAAGGCAACGACGGGUAGCUGGUCUGAGAGGACGACCAGCCACACUGGAACUGAGAUACGGUCCAGACACCUACGGGUGGCAGCAGUCGAGAAUUUUUCUCAAUGGGGGAAACCCUGAAGGAGCGACGCCGCGUGGAGGAUGAAUGCUUUCGGGUUGUAAACUCCUGUCAUUUGGGAACAAGACCUUACGUUAACUGCGUGGAGGAUUGAUAGUACCAGAAGAGGAAGAGACGGCUAACUCUGUGCCAGCA